AUGAACGCUGGCGGCGUGCCUAAUACCUGCAAGUCGAGCGAACAGACGAGGAGCUUGCUCCUCUGACGUUAGCGGCGGACGGGUGAGUAACACGUGGAUAACCUACCUAUAAGACUGGGAUAACUUCGGGAAACCGGAGCUAAUACCGGAUAAUAUAUUGAACCGCAUGGUUCAAUAGUGAAAGACGGUUUUGCUGUCACUUAUAGAUGGAUCCGCGCCGCAUUAGCUAGUUGGUAAGGUAACGGCUUACCAAGGCAACGAUGCGUAGCCGACCUGAGAGGGUGAUCGGCCACACUGGAACUGAGACACGGUCCAGACUCCUACGGGAGGCAGCAGUAGGGAAUCCUCCGCAAUGGGCGAAAGCUUGACGGAGCAACGCCGCGUGAGUGAUGAAGGUCUUCGGAUCGUAAAACUCUGUUAUUAGGGAAGAACAAAUGUGUAAGUAACUAUGCACGUCUUGACGGUACCUAAUCAGAAAGCCACGGCUAACUACGUG
rnacentral:rRNA from 1 species